UGCUGAAGAGCGACGUGUACAUCUGUAUACACGGGCUGGACAGGCGUCUGGCCUGACGGAUCUGAAAACAACAUAGUUCACAGCAAACCUCAGUAACAGGAACACGAAGAGCAAUUUUCCAAAAACAUCCCACAUUCAUCCACAGAUGGUCAUUAGUACAAAUGUGCACCUAAAAUGCCUAAAAAUGCCUAAAAGAUAAAAAUAAUAAUAAUAAUAAGUAGACAAAUCUCUAAUCAUCUCAUAUUAUCUUACAAAUAGUUUGCAUGAACGGAAGAAAGACAAAGCUGUCGAUAUUACGCAAAGGAAGACAUGAAGGAGCUCAUGUAUAAUAUUCAUAUAGAAAACAUUUGCUAUGCCAUUAUAAGAUGUGAAGAGUUUUUAAUCUGCAUUUUUGUUUUUAAAUUCUUAAGAAUCUGCACAUCCAAAAUGCCAUGCCAAGUAUUGUACCUGCAUUAAAGGUCAGUGUCCACCAGAUGGAGAUAUCGCUCCAUUUCAAGAACCUUGAGUACAGGUGUGUGUGUGUGUAUAUAUAUAUAUAUAUAUAUAUAUAUAUAUAUAUAUAUAUAUAUAUAUGCAUUCUCUGAAUAUUGUUUUGGUUCGAAAAGUUAAAGUUCCACCUUUAAAAUAAAAAAGUGUUACUUAAUACAGUAAACAUUUUGUCAAUGAAUUUGUCAUUGUGCUUGCUAACAUUUUACAACAAAUAUCACUAAUAUUUGUUUGCAUGUUCCAUGGAUAUAUUUCUAAAACAAAUGGGAUAAAAACUAAGCUAGAUCCAGAAUAUGGUUGGAAUUUGGUUGAGUGUAUUUCACAGAAUUUAGGUUCAUUUUAAAUUAUCUUUUCUCCCCGUGUGGUGGAUGAAUGUGUGAUUUUUUUUAUAUAUAUAAAUGUAAACCCUUUAAACACAAAGAAGAAGCAAAAGGCAGGAAGUGAGGAAAGAAAAGAUCACAGACAAUAAAAGCAGAAAAUUAAGAAAAAGUUUUGACAAAUAUCAGAAGUUGUGCUUUGUGUAGUGUGUGUUGGAUUGGAAGGGCAAACAGAAAAAUGAGAUUGGAAAAUUUCUAAAAUCAAUUAAUCAAUCAAUGAUCACCAUCAUAAUCAGGCUCUGAGGCACCUGAACACAUAACAGUGACAUAAAGUAUUGAAUGUACACGAGACACAGAUUUGAUUAAAAUAAGUCAAACAAUAAUCUUACACAAAGAUACUUACAAGAGAAAUGUCGGGAGCAGAACAAAGCGCUCCACCUGGUCUUCAUAGAUCCGACCAAAGCAGUUGAUGCUGUAAACAGGAACGGUCUGUGGAAAGUUCUCCAUAAAUUCAGCUGCCCAGAGAGCCUCACUCAGCUCACUGCAUCAUUUUAUGACGUCAUGCAGGUCAGAGUACAGGAAGAUGCUGACAUCUCAGAUCCAUUUCUGGUGAAAAACGGUGAAAACCAAGGCUGCGUCCUGGGCCCUACCCUGUUUUCAGUCUUCUUUGCUGCUCUGUAAAUUGAUGCCUUCAAGGACUGUGACGGAAUGCCUACAUCCAAUUUCACACAUACGGCAAGCUCUUCAACGGAAGACACCUCCAGGCUAGAUCCAAGGUGACUGAGGCACUCCUACGGGAGUCCUCGCUGAUGACUGUCUCACAUCUACAUGAGAACAUCCAGUUCAUAAUGGACAAAUUUGCUUCCUCCUGCAAAUUCGGACAAAUUCUUGUACAAUAUUACAACAUGCGUAUGAUCAACCUAUAACAAGGAUUUUUACCAAGUUACAUGAAAUUCCAGCUAAAAAUGUGAGAGGAGUUGAUUUCAGAAUGCAGGCACCAACUCAUGAAACUGACGGAGUCUAGAGUUGUAAAUCAAGUGCUAUAACUCUGGUAAAAAUGGGUCCAACUCAAAAGAUAUGAUAAUAUGCGUAUUACCAACUUAUAACAAGGACUUGUACCAAGUUUCACAAAAUUCCUCCU